UACGUAGGGGGCAAGCGUUGUCCGGAAUCAUUGGGCGUAAAGAGCGUGUAGGCGGCCAGAUAAGUCCGCUGUGAAAUCUCGAGGCUCAACUUCGAGCUGUCGGUGGAAACUGUCUGGCUAGAGUCCGGAAGAGGAGAAUGGAAUUCCCAGUGUAGUGGUGAAAUACGUAGAGAUUGGGAAGAACACCAGUGGCGAAGGCGGCUAUCUGGACGGUUUCUGACGCUAAGACGCGAAAGCGUGGGGAGCAAACGGG
rnacentral:rRNA from 1 species